AUUUUGGCCGCUACCAUGCAGUCGAGCGGAACGAUGGGAGCUUGCUCCCAGGCGUCGAGCGGCGGACGGGUGAGUAAUGCAUAGGAAUCUGCCCGAUAGUGGGGGAUAACCUGGGGAAACCCAGGCUAAUACCGCAUACGUCCUACGGGAGAAAGCAGGGGCUCUUCGGACCUUGCGCUAUCGGAUGAGCCUAUGUCGGAUUAGCUGGUUGGUGAGGUAAUGGCUCACCAAGGCGACGAUCCGUAGCUGGUCUGAGAGGAUGAUCAGCCACAUCGGGACUGAGACACGGCCCGAACUCCUACGGGAGGCAGCAGUGGGGAAUAUUGGACAAUGGGCGAAAGCCUGAUCCAGCCAUGCCGCGUGUGUGAAGAAGGCCCUCGGGUUGUAAAGCACUUUCAGUGGGGAAGAAAGCCUUGGGGCUAAUACCCUCGAGGAAGGACAUCACCCACAGAAGAAGCACCGGCUAACUCCGUGCCAGCAGCCGCGGUAAUACGGAGGGUGCGAGCGUUAAUCGGAAUUACUGGGCGUAAAGCGCGCGUAGGUGGCUUGAUAAGCCGGUUGUGAAAGCCCCGGGCUCAACCUGGGAACGGCAUCCGGAACUGUCAGGCUAGAGUGCAGGAGAGGAAGGUAGAAUUCCCGGUGUAGCGGUGAAAUGCGUAGAGAUCGGGAGGAAUACCAGUGGCGAAGGCGGCCUUCUGGACUGACACUGACACUGAGGUGCGAAAGCGUGGGUAGCAAACAGGAUUAGAUACCCUGGUAGUCCACGCCGUAAACGAUGUCGACUAGCCGUUGGGAGCCUCGAGUUCUUAGUGGCGCAGUUAACGCGAUAAGUCGACCGCCUGGGGAGUACGGCCGCAAGGUUAAAACUCAAAUGAAUUGACGGGGGCCCGCACAAGCGGUGGAGCAUGUGGUUUAAUUCGAUGCAACGCGAAGAACCUUACCUACCCUUGACAUCGUGCGAACUUGGUAGAGAUACCUUGGUGCCUUCGGGAACGCACAGACAGGUGCUGCAUGGCUGUCGUCAGCUCGUGUUGUGAAAUGUUGGGUUAAGUCCCGUAACGAGCGCAACCCUUGUCCCUAUUUGCCAGCGAUUCGGUCGGGAACUCUAGGGAGACUGCCGGUGACAAACCGGAGGAAGGUGGGGACGACGUCAAGUCAUCAUGGCCCUUACGGGUAGGGCUACACACGUGCUACAAUGGUCGGUACAAAGGGUUGCAAAGCGGCGACGUGGAGCUAAUCCCAGAAAGCUGAUCUCAGUCCGGAUCGGAGUCUGCAACUCGACUCCGUGAAGUCGGAAUCGCUAGUAAUCGUGAAUCAGAAUGUCACGGUGAAUACGUUCCCGGGCCUUGUACACACCGCCCGUCACACCAUGGGAGUGGACUGCACCAGAAGUGGUUAGCCUAACUUCGGAGGGCGAUCACUCAGCGGUGUGUGCAG
rnacentral:rRNA from 1 species